rnacentral:rRNA from 1 species
UUCGGGGACAUUGGUGACAGGUGGUGCAUGGUUGUCGUCAGCUCGUGUCGUGAGAUGUUGGGUUAAGUCCCGCAACGAGCGCAACCCUUGUCUUUAGUUGCCAUCAUUAAGUUGGGCACUCUAGAGAGACUGCCAGGGAUAACCUGGAGGAAGGUGGGGAUGACGUCAAAUCAUCAUGCCCCUUAUGCUUAGGGCUACACACGUGCUACAAUGGGUAGUACAGAGGGUUGCCAAGCCGUAAGGUGGAGCUAAUCCCUUAAAGCUACUCUCAGUUCGGAUUGUAGGCUGAAACUCGCCUACAUGAAGCUGGAGUUACUAGUAAUCGCAGAUCAGAAUGCUGCGGUGAAUGCGUUCCCGGGUCUUGUACACACCGCCCGUCACACCACGGGAGUUGGAGACGCCCGAAGCCGAUUAUCUAACCUUUUGGAAGAAGUCGUCGAAGGUGGAAUCAAUAACUGGGGUGAAGUCGUAACAAGGUAGCCGUAUCGGAAGGUGCGGCUGGAUCACCUCCUUUCUAAGGA